rnacentral:rRNA from 1 species
CCUACGGGAGGCAGCAGUGGGGAAUCUUGCACAAUGGAGGAAACUCUGAUGCAGCGAUGCCGCGUGAGUGAAGAAGGCCCUUGGGUUGUAAAGCUCUUUUGUCGGGAAAGAUAAUGACUGUACCCGA